UACAGAGGGGGCAAGCGUUGUUCGGAAUUACUGGGCGUAAAGGGCGCGUAGGUGGCCCGCUAAGUCGAACGUGAAAUCCCCGAGCUCAACUCGGGAACUGCGUCCGAUACUGGCGGGCUUGAAUCCGGGAGAGGGAUGCGGAAUUCCAGGUGUAGCGGUGAAAUGCGUGGAUAUCUGGAGGAACACCGGUGGCGAAGGCGGCAUCCUGGACCGGCAUUGACGCUGAGGCGCGAAAGCUAGGGGAGCAAACGGG
rnacentral:rRNA from 1 species